GACAGAGGGUGCAAGCGUUGUCCGGAUUUAUUGGGCGUAAAGAGCGUGUAGGCGGCCAGAUAGGUCAGCUGUGAAAACUCGAGGCUCAACCUCGAGAUGUCGGCUGAAACCAUCUGGCUAGAGUCCGGAAGAGGAGAAUGGAAUUCCCGGUGUAGCGGUGAAAUGCGCAGAUAUCGGGAAGAACACCCGUGGCGAAGGCGGUUCUCUGGGACGGUACUGACGCUGAGACGCGAAAGCGUGGGGAGCGAACAGG
rnacentral:rRNA from 1 species